AGAUCGACCAGAAGUUGGAAUACUCGAUAUAAAAUCUGUCCGGUCGAGGAAUCCUCGAUCCGUACGUCCGAAUAGUCUAGGAAAAAAGAAAGUGUCGAAUAACUUUCUAAAAUCAACGAGUAAGAUGCAAUGUUUUAUGAUCAAAACUCUUAA
rnacentral:sRNA from 1 species